CAGAAUCUGAACUUAUUCUUCUGAAUACGGCAGCGCAGCGCGGGGAGGAGCACAGAUCUGCUGAGGGAAACCAGAGCCCUCCACUCAGUGGAGAAGUUCUGGGGCCUUCCAGAGGCCGCCCGCCAGCCAGGCCCCGGGAGCGAGGGACAGCUCGGCUGAGCCCUGCCCUGGAGAAACCUGGCUCCCUGUGCCUCCGAGGGAGACAAGCAGCAGGCCCUGCAGGAGCUGGAAGUGGAGGUGGCCCUGGGCCCAUGAGGCGGCAGGUGGCACCAGUGGAGAUGGCAUUAGGACAGAACCACCUGCCUCAGGAGGGACAGCAGGUCCUGGGCUCGAAGGGUUUUUGCAAAUGAGGAAACUGAGACACAAAGCAAUUCAGACAACAGAGCCAGGAAGUGAGAUCUGAAGCCACGUCCUCCCUGGGUCUCCGGUUAACUCCAGGCUGCCCAUGUCCAACCCAGCGGCCGGCUCAAACCACUGGGUGGUGCCAAUCACAGGGCAGAUCUGAGAUACCUAGAGAAACAUCAGGGGCAGUGUGGCCCAGUGGAAUUCUGCUGCGGUGUUUCUAGAAUGACUGAUACGUCUGUGCUGUCCAAAAAAGCAGCCGUAAGCACACAGCCAGUGGACCCUGGAAAUACAGCUCUUUCAACCGAGGAACUGAAUUUUAAAUUUCAUUCCAUUUUCAUUAACUUCAAC
rnacentral:lncRNA from 1 species